rnacentral:rRNA from 1 species
AUUGAACGCUGGCGGCAGGCUUAACACAUGCAAGUCGAGCGGAGAUGAGGUGCUUGCACCUUAUCUUAGCGGCGGACGGGUGAGUAAUGCUUAGGAAUCUGCCUAUUAGUGGGGGACAACAUUCCGAAAGGAAUGCUAAUACCGCAUACGUCCUACGGGAGAAAGCAGAGGAUCUUCGGACCUUGCGCUAAUAGAUGAGCCUAAGUCGGAUUAGCUAGUUGGUGGGGUAAAGGCCUACCAAGGCGACGAUCUGUAGCGGGUCUGUGAGGAUGAUCCGCCACAAUGGGACUGAGACACGGCCCAGACUCCUACGGGAGGCAGCAGUGGGGAAUAUUGGACAAUGGGGGGAACCCUGAUCCAGCCACGCCGCGUGUGUGAAGAAGGCCUUAUGGUUGUAAAGCACUUUAAGCGAGGAGGAGGCUACUGAGACUAAUACUCUUGGAUAGUGGACGUUACUCGCAGAAUAAGCACCGGCUAACUCUGUGCCAGCCGCCGCCGUAAAAC